GGCUUAACACAUGCAAGUCGAACGGGCGUAGCAAUACGUCAGUGGCAGACGGGUGAGUAACGCGUGGGAACGUACCUUUUGGUUCGGAACAACUGAGGGAAACUUCAGCUAAUACCGAAUAAGCCCUUACGGGGAAAGAUUUAUCGCCGAAAGAUCGGCCCGCGUCUGAUUAGCUUGUUGGUGAGGUAACGGCCUACCAAGGCGACGAUCGGUAGCUGGUUUGAGAGAACGACCAGCCACACUGGGACUGAGACACGGCCCAGACUCCUACGGGAGGCAGCAGUGGGGAAUAUUGGACAAUGGGGGCAACCCUGAUCCAGCAAUGCCGCGUGUGUGAGGAAGGCCUGCGGGUUGUAAAGCAC
rnacentral:rRNA from 1 species